UCCGUAGGGACCGAGCGUUGUCCGGAAUCAUUGGGCGUAAAGAGCGUGUAGGCGGCCUUUUAAGUCCUGCGUGAAAUCCUGCGGCUCAACCGCAGACGGUCGUGGGAAACUGGAAGGCUAGAGUGCGGGAGAGGAGAGUGGAAUUCCCGGUGUAGCGGUGAAAUGCGCAGAUAUCGGGAAGAACACCGGUGGCGAAGGCGGUUCUCUGGGCAUUACCUGACGCUGAGGAGCGAAAGUGUGGGGAGCGAACAGG
rnacentral:rRNA from 1 species